GUCUAUGGCCAUACAACCCUGAACGCACCUAAUCUUGUCUGAUUUUGGAAGCUAAGCAAGGUGUAGGUCCUGGUUAGUACUUAGAUGGGAGACCGCCAGGGAACGCCAGGUGCUGUAGGCU
rnacentral:rRNA from 1 species